CAAAUAUUUUAGAUACAUUUGGAAUAAAUGAAUUUUGGACUAUUGAUUAAGAUAGAAUUUUGACCCAACACUCCAAUUUAAUACCUCAGCCCAUUCUGCAAUUCAUAUCCCAGCCCAAUACAGAAGUACCUAUCAAAAGCCUAAGCCUUAACCCCAGUUCCACAUUCGUUCAGCCACUCCAAAUAAAUUAGCAUCCCCUAAUUCCCAAAUCAAUCAUCCCAAUAACUAUUUCCAAAUAACCCAGAAACCCGACCCGUCCAUCCCACUUUAUUCUGCAAACCCGACCCAAUACUUUUUUUCCCCAAAAGAAGCCAUUCAGCGCUGUUUCAACUUUCCAACAUCAAAACCUCAGAAACUCAUGGUGUAAAGCAACGACAGCACGCGUGAGAGACCACCAAACCUCCAUAUUCCGAGACGCGCCUCGUCACUGUCACGCGACGUCAAAUUUGACGGCAAUAGAUGGAAAAGUAGUAAGGGGGAAGAAGCCUAUGCGUUGGAGUUUGUCUUCUUCUUCCGCGUUCUUCUGUGUUUCGUACGAUUUCCAGCAGCCUACAACCUUCAAAUCGUCCUUCUUCCUCCAGGUGUCGCAAUCCCAAGCCGCCUUUGUCCUUGCCUCGAGAUCGAACGGUUCCCCUAUUUUUCCCGUUGCAUUUGUGAGAAUAGAUGAAUUCUUAUAGUAGGCUUUUAUCAAUUAAGAGUUUGACUUUUGAAAGGGGAUGGAGAUUUUUUUCAUUUUUUCCCUCCGCCUUCCCCGUAGAUUCAACCCUAAUUUUCUUGUAUAUAAUAUCCUUUUAUUUACCGUCAAGGGGGUCUUUUUCUGGAAAUUCUUAGAGCAAGAGUACAAAAUAAUAGAGAACAAUACUAAUAUUUUUGUUAAGGAAUACAGUAAGGUUUCGAAGUGAAGGUGGGUUUUGGAGUUGAUUUCCGUGAGAUAUUAGCUUAAGGAGUCCAAUUUUGGAGUCGACACGAGUAUUUCCGGUACAAAGUGAUGUGUACGGUUAAUGGAUGUGACUUGACAACACUAAAUGGUUGAACACACAAAAGAGUGAAUGCCUGCAAUAAGUACGCCUAUAGCUUCUUGGGUUUCAUCAGAAAUGGAUGUCGAUGUGGUAGAAUUCUAUAUUUUUAAAUCAAUAAUAAGAAAAUUGUAUCAUUCAUAACCAGUAACCAAUCAAAGAAAAAAAUUAGAAUUUACCGAUGUAUCAAUGUUUACUGGAACAUCUUUUUGAAGAGGGAUGUUAUGUUGCGAUUUAUCAAAAAUAUCUUGAACCGAA